rnacentral:rRNA from 1 species
CCUACGGGGAGCAGCAGUGGGGAAUAUUGGACAAUGGGCGAAAGCCUGAUCCAGCCAUGCCGCGUGUGUGAAGAAGGCCUUCGGGUUGUAAAGCACUUUCAGUGGGGAAGAAAGCCUUGGGGCUAAUACCCUCGAGGAAGGACAUCACCCACAGAAGAAGCACCGGCUAACUCCGUGCCAGCAGCCGCGGUAAUACGGAGGGUGCGAGCGUUAAUCGGAAUUACUGGGCGUAAAGCGCGCGUAGGCGGUCUGAUAAGCCGGUUGUGAAAGCCCCGGGCUCAACCUGGGAACGGCAUCCGGAACUGGCAGGCUAGAGUGCAGGAGAGGAAGGUAGAAUUCCCGGUGUAGCGGUGAAAUGCGUAGAGAUCGGGAGGAAUACCAGUGGCGAAGGCGGUCUUCUGGACUGACACUGACGCUGAGGUGCGAAAGCGUGGGUAGCAAACAGGAUUAGAUACCCCAGUAGUC